CGUGAGGGAAAAUGUUAAAGUAAUGGUUAAGUGAUUAAAUUUACUUCUUCCUAUCAGCUUAGCUUUUGAGACGACUUGUAAUUUAACAAUCUAGAACCCAAGACUACAAUCUCUAUCUUGUGUGCUCAUGGGCCUAAAUUUUGAAUUCAGAAACUAAAUGAGAUGUCUGUGUUUUCAUCUGGUUUAUUCUCUUCUACUUUUUAACUGAUCAAGUUCUCUUUGAAUACCAUACCUCUUACAUCUUUGAUGUUGGAAUACUGUUCUUUAAAAUUAUAUGCAUUUUAGUCCAGAUUACGCUGUCUUUUAUGAAUGAAAUGGAGAGAGAUUAAAUAAAUAUGCUCUUCAGGGAAGAUGAAAGAAUUCGUGUUUGUUUGACCAUAUUAAAAUCAUAAUCUUCUUUGGUGCCAAUCUUCUUGAAUGUAUCUUUGGCUCCACAACGGCCGCCGCAGAUGGGAAGCAACUAGAUUUACCACCAUCACGUGAUGUAACUUCUCCUUUGGCUUAAAAAGCUUUUAACGUGAUGUUGAAGAGGAUAUUGAAGUGGCACAAAGACGGCAAUUGAUGUGAUGGGUGUUCUGGAUUUUUGUGGACGUAUUGGUCAGAGGUGCAAAAGGAAAUUAUGCUGCUGGUCUUUGGGAUCUUGAAUUUGACAUUUAUUGAAAUAGAGUCGUUUUUUUUUUAGAGAAUGAUAAUAUUGUAUAUGGAUAGUUAUGAUUCAUGAAAUGCAUUAAUAUUCUCAGGUAAUGUUGUAUGUGAUUAUGAAAUAUUGAGAAUAACCCUUGUAUAAAUUAUCUAAACCACAUAUUCUUUAUAAUUGUAAAAUAGAGUUCAUAACUAGUAUAAAAGUUGAAUGUUUUUUCUAAUAGGGCUAUAACAUAUAAGUUAUUAUUUAGUGAAUGACCUGUUGUAAUCAUUGAACGGGAAAUUUCUAGUUAGUUUAUGUUAGUGCAUUUGAAGUACAUUGAACUAAACCGUGGUAAGGAUGGGAGUGGGAUAGAGGUGUAUUAUGUAGCAUUACAUUACUUUAAAUUACUGUUUAUGAGUAAGGCUACAUACUAUACUCAUUCCGCUCUAGUCUCACUGGGCUAAUAAGCCAUUGUUGGUUAUUGUGGUGAUAAGUAAUAACAGCUUACUUGAAAAACUUAUGGGUCGCCCAAAUACUGUUUUAUAAGUAAUUCUACAUUGGUAUUGAUACCAAUGCAGAAUAAGGAAGAUAUUUGGACCAUACUGAUGGUAUGUAUUUGCUGCAAGUUAUUACUUUUUUUUUUUUUUUUUUAAAUUGUUUGGACCGUUACGAGACCUCUUUAUUAAUUUAUUUGUCUUCAUUGUUUGUAGAAUAAUUCUACAUCCCGCCUAAUCUACCGAUUGAUGAGAUUAGACGGGUAGCCUUCAUGAACUUUGGUAAAAAGAGAAAAGUUUUCAAGCAUCGGGUCAAAAGAUCUCUUAAAAUUAAGGAAGGUGAUACCCGUGAAAGCAUUAUUUAGACGGUGCCAAACAUCGAACAAUUCGACGCUAAGGACAUUGAAUGCAGCAUCAACACAUGGUUGACGCCGAAAAAUAAGGAUAGGGCAGAAAAUAACAGGCAAAUACGAAAGCUGCACGCAUUUCCACCCACCUCUGAGUUGAAGAGCUAUGCCAGAGUUGCCAAAAAGCUUAUGAGAGAAACACAGGGGUAGCACCAACCCGAGCAGUUGUUUUCGAGGUAACGCACACGAAAAAGGAUGGCACCGCGGUCAAUACGAGACCCAGGAAAAAAUUGACGAGAUGAAGGAGCUGAUGCCACAGGACACUACAACAACCUCGGUAUCGACACAUGGAUCGAUACGAUGGUCAGAAGAUGACGUGUGCGCGAGGGCAAUGGAGAGGCCAGAAUACUUCGGCUGUGUCUGAGGAACAGGACCUGGGCCUCUACCAGUCAGAUCCAACUGUCGCUCCUCUUGGUCAUCGGCACCACCCUCACAGGAUCCUAUACUACUACUGCAAAUUGGUGUAUUGAUGGCGCAGGUGGGUGCACAUCAAGAACGGAUUCUGGCACAAGAACAAUAGAUGGCCGUACUACAACAACAGAUGGAAGCACAACAACAUAUGGCCACACAACAGGAUAAGAUUUCAGUGAUGUGGCGGAUGCUUGAAGCUGUUAUGGUGAGUACAAGAACGAGCAACCCAUUUUCUGUGCCAGACAGUCUCCCAGUUGUGUGAGGUUGGGAUCAUCAGUUGCCAGUCGACCAGAUGUAGGUGAUCAGCCAUUAAGGUCUCAAGAAGAAGCUGCAGCUGAUGUAGUAGGCGAUCCCAUGCGUCAGGCUUCACAUAAUUCUUGUGGAUCACAACGUAUUUCAUCGUUAAGUGACGUUGUUGAGAAGUCAGAUUGGGGUUUGUAAGGCCGAAUGGUUUUUUUGUAAUGGUAUGUUAUUGCUAAUGAAACAACGCGACAAUUUCUUUCA